rnacentral:lncRNA from 1 species
AUAUUUACAUAUGCAUACAGAGGCCCAUUAUCAGCAACCAUCACUUCUGUGUUCCAAUGGCACGUUGUGUUAGCUAAUCCAAGUUUGUCAUUUUAAAAGGCUAAUUGAUCAUUAGAAAACUAUUUUGCAAUUGUGUUAGCACAGCUGAAAACUGUUGUCUGAUUAAAGAAGCAAUAAAACUGGCCAUCUUUAGACUAGUUGAGUAUCUGGAGCAUCAGCAUUUGUGGGUUCGAUUACAGGCUCAAAAUGGCUAGAAACAAAGAAAUUUCUUCUGAAACUCGUCAGUCUAUUCUUGUUGAGAAAUGAAGGCUAUUCCAUGCGAGAAAUUGCCAAGAAACUGAAGAUCUCGUACAAUGCGAUGUACUACUCCCUUCACAGAACAGUGAAAACUGGCUCUAACCAGAAUAGAAAGAGGAGUGGGAGGCCCCGGUGCACAACUGAUCAAGAGGACAAGUACAUUAGAGUGUCUAGUUUGACAAACAGACUCCUCACAAGUCCUCAACUGGCAGCUUCAUUAAAUAGUACCCACAAAACACCAGUCUCAAUGUCAACAGUGAAGAUGCUGGCCUUCUAGGCAGAGUUCCUCUGUCCAGUAUCUGUGUUCUUUUUUUUUCUUUUGGAAAAGUUUUAUUGUUACACUUCCUUUAAAAACAGCUCAAUUAUAUUUGUACAACAUUUAUACACAUAAAAACGGCAUAAAGGCAUAAAAACAGCAUUUGAAUAUCAAAUCAAAUGUAUUUAUAUAGCCCUUCUUACAUCAGCUGAUAUCUCAAAGUGCUGUACAGAAACCCAGCCUAAAACCCCAAACAGCAAGCAAUGCAGGUGUAGAAGCAUGGUGGCUAGGAAAAACUCCCUAGAAAGGCCAAAACCUAGGAAGAAACCUAGAGAGGAACCAGGCUAUGAGGGGUGGCCAGUCCUCUUCUGGCUGUGCCGGGUGGAGAUAAUAACAGCACAUGGCCUAGAUGUUCAAAUGUUCAUAAAUGACCAGCAUGGUCAAAUAAUAAUAAUCAUAGUAGUUGUCGAGGGUGCAACAAGUCAGUAACACAAGAGUAAGUGUCAGUUGGCUAUUUCAUAGCCGAUCUUUGAGAGUAUCUCUACCGCUCCUGCUGUCUCUAGAGAGUUGAAAACAGCAGGUCUGGGACAGGUAGCACGUCCGGUGAACAGGUCAGGGUUCCAUAGCUGCAGGCAGAACAGUUGGAACUGGAGCAGCAGCACGGCCAGGUGAACUGGGGACAGCAAGGAGUCAUCAAGCCAGGUAGUCCUGAAGCAUGGUCCUAGGGCUCAGGUCCUCCGAGAGAGAGAAAGAAAGAAAGAGAAAGAGAGAAUUAGAGUUAGAAUAUUAGAAUAUUACAUUUAAAUUUGUUAAAAAGUACAUGUUGCUUAUUUAAAAACAAUAGAAACAACCAUGAAUAAAAGUACUUUUUCUUGUAAAACAUCCAAUCUGUAAAAGCCAUUUAAAAUGUGUACAAAAUAAUUUUUUAAAGACAUGAAAACAUGUUAAAAGGUCACUUUGUUAAAAAGCUGUCUUCGGUCCUUUGUACAGGAACGGGUGAGUCCUUAUCAACUCGCCUCCUCCUGCUCUUCCGAAUCAAUAACCGUCCUGUCCUUCGGGGCCCAGAGGAGAUCCCUCCCCUAGGCGCAUCGCCCUAGGCGCCGCAGCACUGUCAGGCAGUGGCUGCCGGGACCUUGGGUGUUGUGGGGGACCCUACGCCUGGGGGUCGAGGCCUCCUUUCUUCUGUACCAUCCCAGGGCUUCCGUGGCUACCAUGGCCACUACCUGGGGGAUGGUCUCUACUCAUUUUGCUACCAGCAGGUUGCGGGAGGACCACAGUGCAUCCUUCAGACACGUGAGGGUGGGUCAGAGCUUGGGGAAGGCCUUCGCUGGAAUAGGCCUUCGGCCCACCCCAUACAGCACGUGCUGGGGCGUUAGGUCGUCCCCUGCUGGCAGACACGAGGAGAUCAGGGGGCCUGCUUCCUUCCACAGGUCCCUGGCGGCUCUGCACUCCCAGAGCAAGUGCCUCACCGACUCAUCUUGGCCGCAGUCUGGUCGGGGGCACUCGGGUGUCCUCGCCAUGCCCUGGGAGUGCAUAACGGCCCUGACUGGAAGGAUCUCGCGGGCGACCAUCCAGGACAGGUCCCGUUGCCGGUUCAGCAGAACAGGAUGGGCCACGUUGCACCAAACCGUUGUGGGUUCGCCUGUAACAUGCCCGCACACUGGACACACUGGUUCCUGCUCC